rnacentral:rRNA from 1 species
ACGCUCGACACCUACGGGAGGCAGCAGGUGGGGAAUAUUGCACAAUGGGGGAAACCCUGAUGCAGCGACGCCGCGUGAGCGAAGAAGUAUUUCGGUAUGUAAAGCUCUAUCAGCAGGGAAGAAACUGACGGUACCUGACUAAGAAGCACCGGCUAAAUACGUGCCAGAAGCCGCGGUAAUCUGAGCGGGCUGGCAAGGC